rnacentral:rRNA from 1 species
AUUGAACGCUGGCGGCAUGCUUUACACAUGCAAGUCGAACGGUAACAGGCCUUCGGGUGCUGACGAGUGGCGAACGGGUGCGUAAUGCAUCGGAACGUACCCAGAGGUGGGGGAUAACGCAGCGCAAGCUGUGCUAAUACCGCAUGUGAUCUGAGGAUGAAAGCGGGGGACCGAGCAGCAAUGUUUGGCCUCGCGCCUUUGGAGCGGCCGAUGUCGGAUUAGCUAGUUGGUGGGGUAAAGGCCUACCAAGGCGACGAUCCGUAGCUGGUCUGAGAGGACGACGAGCCACACUGGGACUGAGAAACGGCCCAGACUCCUACGGGAGGCAGCGGUGGGGAAUUUUGGACAAUGGGCGCAAGCCUGAUCAAGCAAUGCCGCGUGCGGGAAGAAGGCCUUCGGGUUGUAAACCGCUUUUGGCAGGAACGAAACGGUGGCCGCUAAUACCGGGCGCUAAUGACGGUACCGGCAGAAUAAGCACCGGCUAACUACGG